CUAUAAUGUCGGCGUUUUGGUGCUCGCGGUCGUGUUCACGACCGCAGUUAAACGGGAAACACGAAGCCCUUCAACAAGGCCAACGUGUGCUGCCCCCGCAACGGUAAGCAAGUGCCGCGCUCAUGAUGAUCGAAUCGAUGAGCAGCGCGGCAAACCGUCUUCCAUGACCACUGUGCGAUCGCAUGGGAAGGUCGGACGGCCACACUUGCCAGCCCGGAUACCGGCCAAAAGGUGGAAGCGCGC
rnacentral:ncRNA from 2 species